GGAAGGGGAUAAAGAAUUUGAGAAAAAAAGGCGUGAAAGGGAGGGGGGGGGGGCCCCCGGAGGAAACAAAUUUAUAAGGUUUGGGACCCUGCUCAGGAUGAACGCUGGCGGCGUGCCUAAUACAUGCAAGUCGAACGAACUUCCCGUUAAUUGAUUAUGAACGUGCUUGCACUGAAUGAGAUUUUAACACGAAGUGAGUGGCGGACGGGUGAGUAACACGUGGGUAACCUGCCCAGAAGCAGGGGAUAACACCUGGAAACAGAUGCUAAUACCGUAUAACAGAGAAAACCGCCUGGUUUUCUUUUAAAAGAUGGCUCUGCUAUCACUUCUGGAUGGACCCGCGGCGCAUUAGCUAGUUGGUGAGGUAACGGCUCACCAAGGCGAUGAUGCGUAGCCGACCUGAGAGGGUAAUCGGCCACAUUGGGACUGAGACACGGCCCAGACUCCUACGGGAGGCAGCAGUAGGGAAUCUUCCACAAUGGACGCAAGUCUGAUGGAGCAACGCCGCGUGAGUGAAGAAGGGUUUCGGCUCGUAAAGCUCUGUUGUUAAAGAAGAACGUGGGUGAGAGUAACUGUUCACCCAGUGACGGUAUUUAACCAGAAAGCCACGGCUAACUACGUGCCAGCAGCCGCGGUAAUACGUAGGUGGCAAGCGUUAUCCGGAUUUAUUGGGCGUAAAGCGAGCGCAGGCGGUCUUUUAAGUCUAAUGUGAAAGCCUUCGGCUCAACCGAAGAAGUGCAUUGGAAACUGGGAGACUUGAGUGCAGAAGAGGACAGUGGAACUCCAUGUGUAGCGGUGAAAUGCGUAGAUAUAUGGAAGAACACCAGUGGCGAAGGCGGCUGUCUGGUCUGUAACUGACGCUGAGGCUCGAAAGCAUGGGUAGCGAACAGGAUUAGAUACCCUGGUAGUCCAUGCCGUAAACGAUGAUUACUAAGUGUUGGAGGGUUUCCGCCCUUCAGUGCUGCAGCUAACGCAUUAAGUAAUCCGCCCUGGGAAGACGACCCACCU
rnacentral:rRNA from 1 species